AUCUUGAAGGAGCAAAAGUUUGUUCAUGAGCUGUCAUGCUCGCUAGGCGAGCAGAAUGGGUCGCCUAGCGAGUCCCAAGAAAAGCCACCAGAAUCACCUACGCUCAGAGGAAUUUCUUGAACUGUCAUGCUCGCUAGGCGAAGCCCACGUGUUUAAAAAAAAAGAAAAAAAAUAGAAUAUAACAGAAAAUUUUUGGACUUGGGCCUCUCUCAUUUGAGCCCACAGGUCCACAAAAAUCAGGUUAUAAAUUCAGAGUUUCAGUGAAACAAAAGGCAAUUCUAUUCCUAUUAUCCUGACAGGGAAAAAGAUAGUGAGAGAAGAGCUAACAGAGUUCAGAGCAACCUCCAGAGACUGAAGGGAACUCAUCGGCAAA
rnacentral:lncRNA from 1 species